GAUCCAGGGGGUACCGAAAAAGGGACAAUGCUUCGACUGAAUGUGCCAUUCGUUUACAUGUACCAGUAUAGAUCUGUUACUGAGGCAUAUCCAAUAAUUCUUAUACUCAUGAAAAGUGUGGCAACUUCCAAGUAUUGAUGCUGGGACUCAUUUUAAAUCAGAAGAUGCUCACUUCUAGGAUGUUUCCAAGUUCUUGUUAAAAGUGUUUUAUAUGGCACCAUUCAUCUACAAAUAUUUUGCCAGUCGAACUGUGACAUCAAUCAACUGCUCAUGCACUGCUAAUUGGCAGAGAAUUUCCUUUGGGAGAAGCAAACUGUUUCAAACAUUUUACACCUGCAAGUAGUGAUGAGUGUACUGGAAGGUUUUUACGAUCUCUUCCAACAUCAUAGGUACAACUGGUCACUGUGCUUGCUUGGUUAUAUAAGCCGGCAUAUUGUUAAGGCAGUGACAUAUGUAGCUCCAAAU